GUUGUACAAUAAAUUUAUUGUACACCAAGAUAACUUUUAUUCAAUUUUUUGUAACUUUAACCUACUUUUGGUUAACUUUUAUAUUAGUUAAAAAAAAUUGAUAGAUAAACAUUUUAAAGGGUUAAAUGAUUAAUUUUAUACAUUAUUAGUGAUUUUGAAGAAAUAAAUUUUAUUAAAAUGAAAUUUUUUAUCACUAAAAGUAUAUAAAUUUUACAUAUAUAAGCUUAACUUUUAAGUAGUUUGAGUUAACUUUUACUCCGAUGUACAAUAUUUAUUGUACACCCAUUGUAAAUAAGAAUUUGUGUAUAUUAUAAUAAAAUAUCAUUUUUAUUUUUAAUAUAAUUAAGAUUGUGAUUUCUUUUUUUGCCUUUUGGAUUCCCUAUCGUUUACCUGCAUCCGCAGAUGAAAGAAAAUGAAACCCGUUAAUCCCCACUACUUCCUCCAACCUCCCCAGUCUCCUACAGUCCCACACAAUCUUCAACUCUCCAAUUCCUAUAUUGCAUCUCUUUUGAAUUUUCUCUGCUAAGGAUCAGAGCAGAGAAAGUCGAUAAUCGGAUGCAUCAUUAGCGUGAUUUUUGAAAAGGAUGAACACAAAUUUUUAACUGGUAUUGUCGUAUUGAAAUGGAAUAGGGAGGCGCCGACGAAACAAAAAAGGUUUGAAGGAUAUUUCCAUAGAACAACCCUUCAUCUCUCCGAUUCCUCAACAUUCAGCAACCCUAAAUCCUUCUUUCACCCUUUGCACUCUUGUAAGAUUCUACUUGAAUUUCGCUGGAUCAAUUCCUGACAGCUUGUCCUACUUGAGUCAAAUCGAAAGACCAGGUCGUUCCAAGCAUCGUUAAGCAUUCUGAGCCAAGGACCAGGUCGGCCUAAUGUGAACUCGUCCGGGGAAAUUAAAAAGGUCAGUCCACUUCCUCCCGCAUGUACAUUUUUUUGUUUGUUGUUAGUAAGUAAAACAUAAUGCCACAUUUAUCUACCAGUCUGAAAUGUGAUGGUAAUUGUUGCACAAAAUUGUGUAGAAAAUUUUGUAAAAGGAGUGAUUCUAACUUUUGUGUCUGAAAUCUGAACACAAAGCUAAAGUUCAUGGCAUAUGCGGUUUGGAAAUGUGCAAAUGGGGUGAAAAUAUUUUCGUAUUGUGUAAAGCUCAGAUUCAGAUAUGCAGGCUGGAUUUUCUGGAACAUUUUUAUGGCUUUGUAUGGCUUUUUGAUGCUUUUGGGGUUCAGCUGCAGAACUGAUUAAUUCAGCUUUACCGGGAAAUACUGUUGUUGCCUAGCCUCAGGCCUACGCUCUGGUAAAGUGGUAACAUCCAUUUGGACUAGAAUAAAUUACAUCUUAAUAUUCCUAUGAUGUUUUCAUGAAACUGACAAAAUUCUGAUUCUUGACCACGUUGUAGGUUGGAAUGCUUGCUACCUUAGCUUCUGUUUGUCUAGUACCCUUGACAUAUGUUUUACUUCUUUUUGAGCUGACUAAGACUGUAGGAUAUUGCUUCCACUCAUGGUUAAGCUCUUUUUCUUCUCUUACUUAGUAUUGGAUUCAUUUUCUUUGCACAUAAUUUUAUGCUCUGGUAUGCUAGUAAUCACCUUACUACCUACUGAUGCUGAAUUGCUUGCUACAAAUUGAAUCCCCUUUUCCAAGUUAUUGCAAGAAGUUAUAUGAAAUUCUUUGCUAUUCUCUUUCCGAGAUUUGUAUUCUAUUUAGUAUGUAUCAUUAUUCAUUAUAUAGUCUAUGCUUUGAAUGUUUCUUAUAGAAGUAGUAAAUUACCAAGGAAAAGGUAAUAUUUUUUUUCUCUUCUCGCCAGGUUCUGAGGUUUAUCUAAGAAAAUAUUUAUAGCAUAGUUUGUGAAGUUCUAAAAUCUAGUUGCGUGCCUUAUUUUGAAUGAAGGAUGGGUUCUAUAAGACAUGAAGGGGGAUGUUAUCCCGGCAUUAAAUGGAGGCUAAGAAUAAAGAACUGUCUUGUUGCUGUAUGUUAAUGUUUUUCUUCAUAUCUAAAUGUCACAAACCUUAAUGUGAUUUAACUUUAAUCUCUUUGUUUCUAUUACCCCUCACAGAUUCUUUAAAUUUAUAUGCGAAUGCCACAUUUUAUCUACCAGUCUGAAAUGUGAUGGUAAUUGUUGCACAAAAAUGUAUAGAAAUUUUUGCAAAAGGAGUGAUUCCAACUUUUGAGUCUGAAAUCUGAAUAGAGAGCUAUAGUUCAUGGACAUAUGCGGUUUGGAAAUGUGCAAAUGGGGUGCAACUAUUUUCGUAUUGUGUAAAGCUCAGAUUCAGAUAUGCAAGCUGGAUUUCCUGGGACGUUUUUAUAGCUUUGUAUGGAUUUUUUAUGUUUUUGGGUUUCUGUGCUUCAUCGUGGAUAUUUUUACAUUGGCCAAUGAACGUUUAUAAAGGUCCAUUCAUUUUAUAUCUCAUGAAGAGAUGACCUUGAAGUCUGGCUCUAUGCUUUGUAUAUUACUUAAUGUUAUAAUGACAAAUGCAUUUUUUUUGUCUUAGUUAGUUGCUAUGUCAUUGUUCACGUA